rnacentral:rRNA from 1 species
AUUGAACGCUGGCGGCAGGCCUAACACAUGCAAGUCGAACGAGCGGCGGACGGGUGAGUAAUUCAUGGGGAUCUGGCUGAUGGAGGGGGAUAACUACGGGAAACGGUGGCUACUACCGCUUACUAUCGGAUGAGCCCAUGUGGGAUUAGUUAGUUGGUGGGGGAAAGGCUCACCAGGCCGACGAUCUCUAGCUGGUCUGAGAGGAUGACCGGCCACACUGGGACUGAGACACGGCCCAGACUCCUACGGGAGGCAGCAGUGGGGAAUAUUGCGCAAUGGGGGCAACCCUGACGCAGCCAUGCCGCGUGAAUGAAGAAGGCCUUCGGGUUGUAAAGUACUUUCGGUGGCGAGGCGUUACCCACAGAAGAAGCACCGGCUAACUCCGUGCCAGCAGCCGCGGUAAUAC